UGGGGAAUUUUGGACAAUGGGCGAAAGCCUGAUCCAGCAAUGCCGCGUGUGUGAAGAAGGCCUUCGGGUUGUAAAGCACUUUUGUCCGGAAAGAAAUCCUUGGCUCUAAUACAGUCGGGGGAUGACGGUACCGGAAGAAUAAGCACCGGCUAACUACGUGCCAGCAGCCGCGGUAAUACGUAGGGUGCAAGCGUUAAUCGGAAUUACUGGGCGUAAAGCGUGCGCAGGCGGUUUGCUAAGACCGAUGUGAAAUCCCCGGGCUCAACCUGGGAACUGCAUUGGUGACUGGCAGGCUAGAGUAUGGCAGAGGGGGGUAGAAUUCCACGUGUAGCAGUGAAAUGCGUAGAGAUGUGGAGGAAUACCGAUGGCGAAGGCAGCCCCCUGGGCCAAUACUGACGCUCAUGCACGAAAGCGUGGGGAGCAAACAGGAUUAGAUACCCUGGUAGUCCACGCCCUAAACGAUGUCAACUAGUUGUUGGGGAUUCAUUUCCUUAGUAACGUAGCUAACGCGUGAAGUUGACCGCCUGGGGAGUAUGGUCGCAAGAUUAAAACUCAAAUGAAUUGAC
rnacentral:rRNA from 1 species